rnacentral:rRNA from 1 species
UAAGGAAUAUUGCUCAAUGGGAGAAAUCCUGAAGCAGCAACGCCGCGUGGAGGAUGAAUGUCGUAAGAUUGUAAACUCCUGUUAGAGGGGAAGAAUAGUACCGGUUGGACCGGUAUAUGACUGUACCCUCAGAGAAAGCCCCGGCUAACUACGUGCCAGCAGCCGCGGUAAUACGUAGGGGGCAAGCGUUGUCCGGAUUUACUGGGUGUAAAGGGCGCGCAGGCGGGAUAAAAAGUCAGUGGUGAAAUCCUACAGCUUAACUGUAGAACUGCCUUUGAUACUUUUAUUCUUGAGUUCGGGAGAGAGAGACGGAAUUCCAGGUGUAGUGGUGAAAUACGUAGAUAUCUGGAAGAACACCAGUUGCGAAGGCGGUCUCUUGGUCCGACACUGACGCUGAGGCGCGAAAGCGUGGGGAGCAAACA